rnacentral:rRNA from 1 species
CAGUCGCCGCGGUAAUACGGAGGGGGCUAGCGUUGUUCGGAAUUACUGGGCGUAAAGCGCACGUAGGCGGCUUGGUAAGUUAGAGGUGAGAGCCUGGAGCUCAACUCCAGAAUUGCCUUUAGGACUGCCGAGCUAGCAGGUGAGAGAGGUAAGUGGAAUUCCGAGUGUAGAGGUGAAAUUCGUAGAUAUUCGGAAGAACACCAGUGGCGAAGGCGGCUUACUGGCUCAUACUGGACGCUGAGGUGCGAAAGCGUGGGGAGCAAACAGGAUUAGAUACCCCCGUAGUCCCUGUCUCUUAUAC